GGAACAAAAGACUAAACUAAACUAAACAAAGAUGAGUGAGAGAAGGGAACGCAUGCUUUGUUUAUUCGUUUUGUUUAGUUCUUUUGUUUCGUUCACUUUUUUCCUUUUUCAUUUGGCU
rnacentral:ribozyme from 1 species